rnacentral:rRNA from 1 species
UACCAGCAUCCCGAGUGGUCGGGACGAUUAUUGGGCCUAAAGCAUCCGUAGCCGGUUCUACAAGUCUUCCGUUAAAUCCACCUGCUUAACAGAUGGGCUGCGGAGGAUACUAUAGAGCUAGGAGGCGGGAGAGGCAAGCGGUACUUAGUGGGUAGGGGUAAAAUCCGUUGAUCCAUUGAAGACCACCAGUGGCGAAGGCGGCUUGCCAGAACGCACUCGACGGUGAGGGAUGAAAGCUGGGGGAGCAAACCGG